rnacentral:rRNA from 1 species
UACGGAGGGUGCAAGCGUUAUCCGGAUUCACUGGGCUUAAAGGGUGCGUAGGUGGGUUGGUAAGUCAGUGGUGAAAUCCCCGAGCUUAACUUGGGAACUGCCAUUGAUACUAUCAGUCUUGAAUACCGUGGAGGUCAGCGGAAUAUGUCAUGUAGCGGUGAAAUGCUUAGAUAUGACAUAGAACACCAAUUGCGAAGGCAGCUGGCUACACGAAUAUUGACACUCAGGCACGAAAGCGUGGGGAUCAAACAGG